rnacentral:rRNA from 1 species
AUUGAACGCUGGCGGCAGGCCUAAUACAUGCAAGUCGAACGGUGUCUUCGGACAUAGUGGCGCACGGGUGCGUAACACGUAUGCAACCUACCUUACAUUGGGGGAUAGCCUUUCGAAAGGGAGAUUAAUACCGCAUAAGACAGUAGCUGGGCAUCCAGCAGCUGUUAAAGAUUUAUCGAUGUAAGCUGGGCAUGCGUCCAAUUAGCUAGUUGGUGAGGUAACGGCUCACCAAGGCAAUGAUUGGUAGGGGAACUGAGAGGUCAAUCCCCCACACUGACACUGAGAUACGGGCCAGACUCCUACGGGAGGCAGCAGUAGGGAAUAUUGGGCAAUGGACGCAAGUCUGACCCAGCCAUGCCGCGUGCAGGAUGAAGGCGUUAUGCGUUGUAAACUGCUUUUAUAUAGGAAGAAACGACUCUUGCGAGAGGCAUUGACGGUACUGUAUGAAUAAGCACCGGCUAACUCCGUGCCAGCCGCCGCAGUAAGAC